rnacentral:rRNA from 1 species
GCGCGAAAACUUUACAAUGCGGGCAACCGCGAUAAGGGGACCUCGAGUGCUGGGUUACAAACCUGGCUGUUGGGCUGCCUAAAAAGCAGUCUAUAGCAAGGGCCGGGCAAGACCGGUGCCAGCCGCCGCGGUAACACCGGCGGCUCGAGUGGUAACCGCUAUUAUUGGGUCUAAAGGGUCUGUAGCCGGCCGACUAAGUCUCUUGGGAAAUCUGGCAUCUCAAGUGUCAGGCUGCCAGGGGAUACUGGUCGGCUUGGGACCGGGAGAGGUGAGAGGUACCUCGGGGGUAGGGGUGAAAUCUUGUAAUCCUCGAGGGACCACCAGUGGCGAAGGCGCCUCACCAGAACGGAUCCGACGGCAAGGGACGAAAGCUAGGGGCACGAACCGGAUUAGAUACCCGGGUAGUCCUAGCCGUAAACGAUACUCGCUAGGUGUCGGCCACGGUGCGACCGUGGUCGGUGCCGUAGGGAAGCCGUGAAGCGAGCCACCUGGGAAGUACGGCCGCAAGGCUGAAACUUAAAGGAAUUGGCGGGGGAGCACCACAACGGGUGGGGCCUGCGGUUUAAUUGGAUUCAACGCCGGAAAGCUUACCGGGGGCGACAGCAAUAUGAAGGUCAGGCUGAAGACCUUACCGGAUUCGCU